AGUGAACGCUGGCGGUAGGCCUAACACAUGCAAGUCGAACGGCAGCACAGUAAGAGCUUGCUCUUACGGGUGGCGAGUGGCGGACGGGUGAGGAAUACAUCGGAAUCUACUUUUUCGUGGGGGAUAACGUAGGGAAACUUACGCUAAUACCGCAUACGACCUACGGGUGAAAGCAGGGGAUCUUCGGACCUUGCGCGAUUGAAUGAGCCGAUGUCGGAUUAGCUAGUUGGCGGGGUAAAGGCCCACCAAGGCGACGAUCCGUAGCUGGUCUGAGAGGAUGAUCAGCCACACUGGAACUGAGACACGGUCCAGACUCCUACGGGAGGCAGCAGUGGGGAAUAUUGGACAAUGGGCGCAAGCCUGAUCCAGCCAUACCGCGUGGGUGAAGAAGGCCUUCGGGUUGUAAAACCCUCUUGUUGGGAAAGAAAAGCAGCAGGUUAAUACCCCGCUGUUCUGACGGUACCCAAAGAAUAAGCACCGGCUAACUUCGUG
rnacentral:rRNA from 1 species